rnacentral:tRNA from 1 species
CGGGGCGUAGCGCAGCUUGGUAGCGCGCUUGCAUGGGGCGCAAGAGGUCGUCGGUUCAAAUCCGGCCGUCCCGACCA